rnacentral:rRNA from 1 species
UAGGGAAUCCUCGGCAAUGGACGAAAGUCUGACCGAGCAACGCCGCGUGAGUGAAGAAGGUUUUCGGAUCGUAAAACUCUGUUGUUAGAGAAGAACAAGGACGUUAGUAACUGAACGUCCCCUGACGGUAUCUAACUAGAAAGCCACGGCUAACUACGUGCCAGCAGCCUCGGUAAUACGCAGGUGGCAAGCGUUGUCCGGAUUUAUUGGGCGAAUAGCGCGCGCCGGCGGUUUCUUAAGUCUGAUGUCAAAGCCCCCGGCUCAACCGGGGAGGGUCAUUGGAAAAUGGGAGACUUGAGUGCAGAAGAGGGGAGUGGAAUUCCAUAUGUAGCAAUGAAAUGCGUAGAUAUAUGGAGGAACACCAGUGACGAAGGAGGCUCUCUGGUCUGUAACUGACGCUGAGGCUAGAAAGCGUGGGGAGCAAACAGG